rnacentral:lncRNA from 1 species
GUGUGGAUGAAGGCGACUAGAAGUAUCAGUCAGACCAUGCUCAGGAGGGGAGUCUGGGGUGAGGUGAAGUUUCACUACAUUCCCCUGACGAGGACCGACUGCUGGGUGCUGCUGUACUGCCUGCAGUGUUGCCCGACCAUCAGAAGCCUGAAGCUCAAGGGGUGCAACAUAAGAUCCUGGCUGUCCUGAGAGUGGAAGAGAGCAGCCUCUCACCUGAGAGUGUGGAGCAGGUCCUCAGUGUUCUCUCCAGGCAAAAGUAUGUGGGUGAAGUCCAUCUGUCUGUGACGACCAUCACUGUCACCACCACAGCCCUGUGCUUGGACUUCAUUCAGAACACAGAGACGUGCCGUUACCUGACGCUUAAGGAGAAUUCAAGUCCACCCUCCUCUCUCUCUGUGGACAAAUACUACAGAAGCCUCAGGUUAACUGUGAGGAACCUGUCAGAUGCUGAUGUUGGUGUCCUGAUCUCAGCUCUGGGGGAGGGGAAGAUCCUGGCUGUCCUGAGAGUGGAAGAGAGCAGCCUCUCACCUGAGAGUGUGAAGCAGGUCGUCAGUGCUCUCUCCAGACAAAAGUCUGUGGGUGAAGUCUAUCUGUAUGUGACGACCUUCACUGUCACCACCGCAGCCCUGUGCUUGGACUUCAUUCAGAACACAAAGACGUGCUAUCAGCUGAUGCUCGAGGACAAUUUAAGGCCACCCUCCUCUCUCUCUGUGAAGAAAGACUCCAGAAGCCUCAGGUUAACUGUGAGGAACCCGUCAGAUGCUGAUGUUGGUGUCCUGAUCUCAGCUCUGAGGGAGGGAAAGAUCCUGACUAAACUGAACGUGAGAUACAGCAGCCUCUCAUCUGAGAGUGUGGAGCAGGUCAUCAGUGCUCUCUCAAGACAAAAGUCUGUGGGUGAAGUCCGUCUGUCUGUGCCGACCUUCACUGUCACCACCGCAGCCCUGUGCUUGGACUUCAUGCAGAACACAGAGACGUGCCGUCACCUGAGGCUUAUGGAUAAUUUACGGCCACCAUCCUCUCCCUGUGGCUGACUAGUCAAGCGGAAGACGUCUUGGAUGAAUCCGUCUCCAAGAUCCUUUGCACACUCUAUCAGACGGCUGUAUGGCUCUGAAAGCAGGCGCUGGCUCAUCGGCUUGACAAAAGGGUCCCUGCUCAGUGCAUCAGCAACAACGUUCAAUCUGCCUGGAACAUGCUUGAUCUUGAAGUUAUAUGGGGCCAA